UAUGGNAGAAUCAAUCCGAGCCUCCAUAUUUACAAAUAACAAUAACUUACAAGUUUAUAAAUUAAUCGCAUUCAUGUCAUCAUGGCUAUUGUAACAAAACCCUAAGUUUUAGGAUAAUAAAAGAAAAUUCUUAAAUCCGGUCUCGAAGAAAUCUAAUUUCAUUCCAAAAGCAGAGACCUUGACAAAAAUGAAAAAAAAAAAAAAAAUCGAUCGUCAGGCAGAAAAUGAAAAUGUAAAUAUAAAAAAUACAAGAAAAGGGUGGAGUUUUGUUUACCUGGCUUCACGGUCGAACCGCGAACGGUGACGUUUCGAGUCGUAAUUACGGUCUUCUCGACGCGACAUUAGGUUUGAUGUGGUGCAGAAAGUGGGAAAUUCUCAGCUGUAUAUAGAUCCAAGUCAAAGAGUAUAUAUCGAUGCAUACGACUGAACACCACAAAUCAGUAGGGGUAAUGCCAGUCAGUAGAGGAGGAAGAGGAGUUAAUUGUUACAACUAUUGUCAAAG
rnacentral:lncRNA from 1 species